rnacentral:lncRNA from 1 species
AAUUCUAAUUCUCACGGGGGCCUCUUUUCCACCUGCGAGAUAAGCCGUGUCGCUAUAAUUACGUUAUUUAAUAUUUGAUCAAACCUUCGCGCCACCGCGGCUCCGGGCGCCGCGCGGGCUCCCAGGGCAGCGGGCUGGCGGCGCGGCCGGAGUGGGGCCGCGCACGUGUGGCGAGGGCGCGCGGCCGCGCCUCUCGGGUCGGCUCGCCCUUUGAAUAAUUCACGACCGCAGAGUUCUGGAAAUUAAUAAAAGGAAUGAUAACAAGACGCUAAUUAAAAACUUUCGUAAUUGUUGUCAAGUCAGCCUGACGGGAGACGGACGGCCCUCUCGGACUCCCUCCCCGAAACGCGGUGCGCGGGAAGCGCCGGACGCGGGUCUGGGAGUCGGCGGCCGAGCGCUACCCCGACUCCAGCAGUCCCUUCCGAGGCGGUCUCAGGGGGGCUUCUGUGUCCUCUCCGGCUGCCGGUGGCUUUAGGACUUCGGGGCGGACAGGCUGAGGUGUGCCUUUUCCAAGCAGAACUGAUUGGGUCGAAUUUGCAGCCAGGAGGGGACCCACCCACCCCUGACCCGCCGCGAGGUUCCCGCUCUCCCACUGCGCUACCCCCAGCCCGGGGGGUUCAGCGCCCCGAAGCGCGCGAGCCGCGGCUCCCGCGUCCGUGGCGAACGACGGCGACCCGCCCGGUCGGCACUCCUGCGCCGCCUGCCCUGAGGCUUCCAGCUGCUGGAGGUCGCAGCGCCACUCGGACGGCGGGACAGCGACCGGCCAGCGGGGCCUGACCGGGUGUCAGCCAGGACCCAGAGGGCCCGAGCCGGUUAACAGCCUGAGGCCUGGGCAUCCGGCGCGCGUGCGCAGAGGUGGCCGGAGGGCGCCGGCUGCGGGGGUGGCGGGGCGCGCACCGAGCGUGCGGGGAGCGCGCCGAGCCCGCACAUGCGCGUUGCGCGCCGAGUCCCUGAGGCGAGGAGAGUUGGCGUCCCACUGCUCCAAGGUGGGCGCUCCCGGAGGUCCGGUCCCGUUCGCAACAUCUCAGCUUCAUCUACCACCUAAUUCUCAGAGUCCGUCAUCCCCAUAUUAUGUUUUUCCCUUUGAGAAGAAGAACAAGCCAAAUAAUGACCUAUCUCAAAGAAAGCAAUUGGAGCACUGACUUUAUAAUUUGAGUACUGACACUGUAAUUUAGGAGAGCCUUGUUCAUAUUUACAAAAUAAAUUCUAAAUUUACAAAUAACUUAUUCUUUAC